rnacentral:lncRNA from 1 species
UGAUUUCUUAUGUAGAAGGUUCGCCUGGUCCUGUAGUAGGUUCCCCUGAUCCUGGUUUGCUUUCUUAUGUAGUAGGUUCCCCUGGUCCUGUAGUAGGUUCCCCUGGUCCUGGUUUGCUUUCUUAUGUAGUAGGUUCCCCUGGUCCUGUAGUAGGUUCCCCUGGUCCUGGUUUGCUUUCUUAUGUAGUAGGUUCCCCUGGUCCUGUAGUAGGUUCCCCUGGUCCUGUAGUAGGUUCCCCUGAUCCUGGUUUGCUUUCUUAUGUAGUAGGUUCCCCUGGUCCUGUAGUAGGUUCCCCUGGUCCUGGUUUGAUUUCUUAUGUAGUAUAUUUCCCUGGUCCUGUAGUAGGUUCCCCUGGUCCUGGUUUGAUUUUUUAUGUAGUAGGUUCCCCUGGUCCUGGUUUGAUUACUUAUGUAGAAGGUUCCCCUGGUCCUGUAGUAGGUUCCUCUGGUCCUGGUUUGAUUUCUUAUGUAGUAGGUUACCCUGGUCCUGGUUUGAUUUCUUAUGUAGAAGGUUCCCCUGGUCCUGUAGUAGGUUCCCCUGAUCCUGGUUUGCUUUCUUAUGUAGUAGGUUCCCCUGGUCCUGUAGUAGGUUCCUCUGGUCCUGGUUUGAUUUCUUAUGUAGUAGGUUCCCCUGGUCCUGUAGUAGGUUCCUCUGGUCCUGGUUUGAUUUCUUAUGUAGUAGGUUCCCCUGGUCCUGGUUUGAUUUCUUAUGUAGAAGGUUCGCCUGGUCCUGUAGUAGGUUCCCCUGAUCCUGGUUUGAUUUCUUAUGUAGUAGGUUCCACUGGUCCUGGUUUGAUUUCUUAUGUAGAAGGUUUCCCUGGUCCUGUAGUAGGUUCCCCUGGUCCUCCUGGUCCUGUAGUAGGUUCCCCUGGUCCUGGUUUGAUUUCUUAUGUAGUAGGUUCCCCUGGUCCUGGUUUGUACAUGUAUAAUCUAAAAUUUCUUGAUCAGAAAAACAUUUCAUGACCAGCGCAAGCAGUAAGCAUCUUUGAUUUUGACACUUAAUGUUUGUGUAUUAUGCUGUUUCUCAAAAAGUACCGUAGUUAAAAGAUCUUUCUCAAAUUUCAUAUGUAGGUUCCAUUCGGUCCAUUGUUGUGAAUGUUUAAAUUUUUGAAAAAUUGACAGUUGAAGUUUUUUAUCACUUUUUCUCAAGAAAUACUGGAGAGAUUUUCCCCAAUUUUAUAUGUAGGUUCCUUUGUGGUAGUGCUUUAAUUUGAGACUGAUCAGAAUUUUGGAUUUUCGUGGUUUAAUUGAAUGGUAUCACAAUUUCUCGGACAUCUUUUUACACAUUAAGUACUAUUCUAAUCAACCAACAAUUACCUCCCUUUGAAAGGACUUUGGUGAAACACAGUUGUACACAAUUUUAAUCAAAAGUUACGAGAUGAAUUUGCUGUUGACAAGAUAUUUAGAUCCAACAGAUAAAAAAACAAAAGAUUGAACUUGCAGAGAACUUAUAGGGCUUCCUUUGUAUGUACAUGUAUGUUGUUUGUUACAUGUUGUUGUGGCUACUGUAAUGCUCCCAAUACCAACUGAUCUGACCUAAAAAGAUGCAUGUCAUUAGGAUAAUCUCAACUUUAUUUUUUUUGACAUUUAAUUUUCAACAUUCAAAGGACUAAUCAAUAUUUAUUUUUAAUUCAAAAUAAGUCCAUGCUAUUAUAACAAUGAGCUCAGUAAAAGUGUGUUUAACACUACAGGAAAGCAGUGGUGUACGUCUGCUAGGUUCCAGAACUAAAAUUGCACUAGAGACAUAUACAAUGUAAUAAGUGUGCUAGUAUGUUCAACUGAAAAUGUUGACAAUGCUUGUAAUCCUCACAGACAAUGGCUGCCGGAUGCAUGCUAUUUCCGCCAAACUUAGUGAAAGUUUUUGUGUUGGCAUGUAAUUAUGGAUGUUUCUUUAUCACGACAUAUUUGUUACAUGCAAAUGGUACUUCUAGUUACAGCUGAAGAUAUAAACUAUACUGUUGUUCAAUUGGAAUACAAUUGCUCUUAAUUUGUCCAUUUCAAGAUGUCUGUUACUUCAGAUAUUAAAGCAUGAACCUCAGUUACCACUACCGUAUAUCAGUCAUUGAUAAUCAUUUAUGUAAAUGUUUUCCAGAUUAAUUUUCAAACAAUGUUACAACCCUUAUGCAUGCUGUAUGACAUUUCAGCAUUUUCCUAAUCAAUGGUGAACAGCAAUCUUGGAGUGUUUUUUUUUUAUUAAAGAACCGUAAAAAUCUCGUGUAAUUUGUACAGUUGAGUGUCACCUUUGCAUGUUCAUUGUAUCUUAGCACAUAAAAGCUGGAGGGGAGAGGGGGAUUUUUUUCUGCUUUCUUGUUUAUAUAUAAUGUUGAAAGAAAUACACUACAAUGUAAAAUACAAUUCAAAGUGACUUUCACAAGUGUUCUACUGUAAAACAAUGUGACAAAUUUUUAGCUGACCUGGCCCGAAGCAACGUCCUUCGUCCCGCAACUUUUUCCUUUAAAUCGCUACUAGUCCUUAACGGCUCAGUGGAUUUUGACCAAAUUUUGUAUAAACUGAGGUGUGUGGGCCCCCUUCUUUGGGGCAGAUUAUGGGAAAUAGAGGA